rnacentral:rRNA from 1 species
UUGUCUCAAAGAUUAAGCCAUGCAUGUCUCAGUACAAGCCGAAUUAAGGUGAAACCGCGAAAGGCUCAUUAAAUCAGUUAUGGUUCCUUAGAUCGUACCCACAUUUACUUGGAUAACUGUGGUAAUUCUAGAGCUAAUACAUGCAAACAGAGCUCCGACCGGAGACGGAAGGAGCGCUUUUAUUAGAUCAAAACCAAUCGGCGGCGGGUUCGCUCGUCGUCGUACACCUUGGUGAAUCUGAAUAACUUUCUGCUGAUCGCAUGGUCUCGCACCGGCGACGCAUCUUUCAAAUGUCUGCCUUAUCAACUGUCGAUGGUAGGUUCUGCGCCUACCAUGGUUGUAACGGGUAACGGGGAAUCAGGGUUCGAUUCCGGAGAGGGAGCCUGAGAAACGGCUACCACAUCCAAGGAAGGCAGCAGGCGCGCAAAUUACCCACUCCCGGCACGGGGAGGUAGUGACGAAAAAUAACGAUACGGGACUCAUCCGAGGCCCCGUAAUCGGAAUGAGUACACUCUAAACCCUUUAACGAGGAUCAAUUGGAGGGCAAGUCUGGUGCCAGCAGCCGCGGUAAUUCCAGCUCCAAUAGCGUAUAUUAAAGUUGUUGCGGUUAAAAAGCUCGUAGUCGAAUUUGUGUCCCGCGCCGCCGGUUCAUCGCUCGCGGUGUUUAACUGGCGUGUCCGCGGGACGUCCUGCCGGUGGGCUUAGCCCCCAAAGGGCGGCCCAACUUCAAAUCCCACCGCGGUGCUCUUCACUGAGUGUCGAGGUGGGCCGGCACGUUUACUUUGAACAAAUUAGAGUGCUUAAAGCAGGCUAAAACUUCGCCUGAAUACUGUGUGCAUGGAAUAAUGGAAUAGGACCUCGGUUCUAUUUUGUUGGUUUUCGGAACCCCGAGGUAAUGAUUAAUAGGAACGGAUGGGGGCAUUCGUAUUGCGACGUUAGAGGUGAAAUUCUUGGAUCGUCGCAAGACGGACAGAAGCGAAAGCAUUUGCCAAAAACGCUUUCAUUGAUCAAGAACGAAAGUUAGAGGUUCGAAGGCGAUCAGAUACCGCCCUAGUUCUAACCAUAAACGAUGCCAGCUAGCGAUCCGCCGACGUUCCUCCGAUGACUCGGCGGGCAGCUUCCGGGAAACCAAAGCUUUUGGGUUCCGGGGGAAGUAUGGUUGCAAAGCUGAAACUUAAAGGAAUUGACGGAAGGGCACCACCAGGAGUGGAGCCUGCGGCUUAAUUUGACUCAACACGGGAAACCUCACCAGGCCCGGACACCGGAAGGAUUGACAGAUUGAGAGCUCUUUCUUGAUUCGGUGGGUGGU